rnacentral:rRNA from 1 species
GGCGCGAAAACUUUACAAUGCUGGCAACAGCGAUAAGGGAACCUCGAGUGCCAGGUUACAAAUCUGGCUGUCGAGAUGCCUAAAAAGCAUUUCAUAGCAAGGGCCGGGCAAGACCGGUGCCAGCCGCCGCGGUAACACCGGCGGCUCGAGUGGUAACCGUUAUUAUUGGGUCUAAAGGGUCUGUAGCCGGCCGGAUAAGUCUCUUGAGAAAUCUGGCAGCUUAACUGUCAGGCUUUCAGGAGAUACUGUCUGGCUCGAGGCCGGGAGAGGUGAGAGGUACUUCAGGGGUAGGGGUGAAAUCUUGUAAUCCUUGAAGGACCACCAGUGGCGAAGGCGUCUCACCAGAACGGACCUGACGGCAAGGGACGAAAGCUAGGGGCACGAACCGGAUUAGAAACCCCGGUAGUCC